rfam:Picea glauca, whole genome shotgun sequence.
GGGUGCGAUCAUACCAACGUUAAUGCACGGGAUCCCAUCAGAACUCCGCAGUUAAGCGGGCUUGCGCUAGAGUAGUACUGGGAUGGGUGACCUCCUAGGAAGUCCUAGUGUUGCACCCU